rnacentral:rRNA from 1 species
AAUGAACGCUGGCGGCAUGCCUAACACAUGCAAGUCGAACGAAGGCUUCGGCCUUAGUGGCGCACGGGUGCGUAACGCGUGGGAAUCUGCCCUUGGGUUCGGAAUAACAGUUAGAAAUGACUGCUAAUACCGGAUGAUGUCGUAAGACCAAAGAUUUAUCGCCCAAGGAUGAGCCCGCGUAGGAUUAGCUAGUUGGUGGGGUAAAGGCCUACCAAGGCGACGAUCCUUAGCUGGUCCGAGAGGAUGAUCAGCCACACUGGGACUGAGACACGGCCCAGACUCCUACGGGAGGCAGCAGUGGGGAAUAUUGGACAAUGGGCGAAAGCCUGAUCCAGCAAUGCCGCGUGAGUGAUGAAGGCCUUAGGGUUGUAAAGCUCUUUUACCCGGGAUGAUAAUGACAGUACCGGGAGAAUAAGCUCCGGCUAACUUCGUG